UCUUCCCUCACAAUUCUCUCUCUCUCCCUUACUUCUCACUUUCUCUCCUUCUCUCUAACACUCAACCCCGGACCCUCUCUCCCUCUACAAGCUUUCCCUCUCUUCCUUGAGUAUCACUCGUACAACCACACUACCCCAAACCACCACCACCCGAACUUUUGUAACACUUGGAAAAUAUAUAUAUAUAUAUAUAUAUAUAUAUAUAUAAAUUAUAGGAGUAAGAUUAUUUUAGCUUUAAAAAAAAAAACAGACAAAGGAUAAUCUAUACGUAUAGACAUCCCAACUCUUCUUCUUCUUCCAAACCAUCACACGGUGGGGAACCAAGAUAAUCGGAUUCCGUCCAUAAAUGUUGGGGGUGAUGUGGGUAGUCUAAGGGGAGUGAGUAAGCAUCCUAAAACAGAGAUGCGAUGAUGGCAUUAAAGGGAGUAUUUCUAACUCUUACUGAAGAACUAGAGGAGAGUGAGAGGUUUUGGAGAGGGAAAAGUAGGAAAUUGGAAGAGGGGAGCUGAGAGGGUGCUGGUGUGAUCGUCGAUUGGUAAAAAGGUAUGGGAGUGACUUCGAACACUUCGGAGGCUUAGGGAGGUAUUCUAGUUAGUUGGACUUGAGGUACUAGUAUGGAGGAACUUGAUGAUGGCCUGUCUCUAAAUGGAUAGCCAUAUCACGUGUGUGCUGGUUUCCUAGUUGUGCUUAGAAUAAAGUGUCUUCGUAUCUUAAAAGUAUGUUGUAAGAGUUGAACUCUUUAAACUAAUGAUGUAUUAAAUAAACAGGUUUAUGUGAACUUUUAGAUGGCUCUAGUUCCAUCAUACUUUUGUUGUAAUAUUUAACUUUUUUUUUCUAAGAUACUAUUCAUGCCCUAAUUCGAUGAUCAUCCUUAUUCUCGAGUUUUGGGUGUGACAAAUUUGGACUUCGAAAACCCUGUACCAAACGCCGAAGAACUCCACAAUGACGUUGCCACUAUUCAUCGUCUUCCCCGACGUGUUUCGUGGUUUCUCGACGUUGAAAUAGCACGGAGUAGCUUUUUCCCAUUUUUCCGGCACCGCCACUUUCGAGGCAUUUACUGGUCAAACCAUGAUGAUUUAACCGUCGUUCAAGUUUCCGACGAGUUCCCCAGUUUUCCCACGGAUCAGUCAUCUUUCAGGCCAUUUUCAGGCCAUCUUCAGCAACCAUUGGACUUUCAAAUAGGUGCAAUUGUUUAUGGUGUUUCUGUCUUCUCUAGUUUGCACGGCUUUUCGACAGCGAAGUAUCUGUGAGUGGAUCCUUUCCAAAAUGCAUAUUUUACCAUUAGAAAUGCAUACAUGCAUUUUUCAAACAAUGUCGUCGGUUCAUACUCGCAUUUUUCAAACAAUGGAUUGUUUUAUCAGCCAUGAAAAUGAAAAUGCAGUGCCAUGCCACCUUCAAGAUGUAUGGGGGGAAGUUCGGUUGUA